rnacentral:lncRNA from 1 species
AAUUGUGUGUCCUUGGAUUGCACGGUCAGAUCCAAGCUGGCAUUGAUUACCUGGCAGCUUCCAUGAGCCCCAACAAUGAACCAAUUGCAACGAGUGUCAUUGUCUCCGGUGGCUACGAGGAUGAUAUGGACGAAGGAGAUGUCAUAAUCUACACUGGACAAGGCGGGCAGGCCANGUGUCAUUGUCUCCGGUGGCUACGAGGAUGAUAUGGACGAAGGAGAUGUCAUAAUCUACACUGGACAAGGCGGGCAGGCCACGAAUUCCGUGAGGCAAGCCACACACCAGAAGUUGGAGAGUGGGAACCUGGCAUUGGAG